rnacentral:rRNA from 1 species
GACGAACGCUGGCGGCGUGCUUAACACAUGCAAGUCGGACGGAAAGGCCCUGCUUUUGUGGGGUGCUCGAGUGGCGAACGGGUGAGUAACACGUGAGUAACCUGCCCUUGACUUUGGGAUAACUUCAGGAAACUGGGGCUAAUACCGGAUAGGAGCUCCUGCUGCAUGGUGGGGGUUGGAAAGUUUCGGCGGUUGGGGAUGGACUCGCGGCUUAUCAGCUUGUUGGUGGGGUAGUGGCUUACCAAGGCUUUGACGGGUAGCCGGCCUGAGAGGGUGACCGGCCACAUUGGGACUGAGAUACGGCCCAGACUCCUACGGGAGGCAGCAGUGGGGAAUAUUGCACAAUGGGCGGAAGCCUGAUGCAGCAACGCCGCGUGCGGGAUGACGGCCUUCGGGUUGUAAACCGCUUUCGCCUGUGACGAAGCGUGAGUGACGGUAAUGGGUAAGGAAGCACCGGCUAACUACGUG